CGGCCCCAGACCCAGAGUACAUACACGCUUCCCGCGGAGUCACCUCGCUGCAGUAGGAAGGGCUCAGCAUCUGCUGGUCGUACGGCGGCGGGGAACGAAAGUAGUGAUCGUCUCCCACGGACGAGGAGGCCUCCAGCUCUGACUCCAGAGGCUGAAUUUGCCUUCUAUAGGACAAAACCACUAACAAAAAACUUCCCAAAAACUCAGCUCCAAAACACGUUGGUCACUUUGCAGAUUAAGGCCUACGAGUCAGAUAGAAAACAAACUGGAAUUAAUGGCAAUGAUAGAAGAGCCCUGAAUCUCUCUGUGCUGUGAAGGUGUUGAGUGGCAGAUCUUGAGUAUCUGAGGCUGCAAACUGCAUGUGAGCACCAUUCUCAUACUGAUAAUGCUGAAGGGUCUGGUGACUCCCGUG